AUUGAACGCUGGCGGCAGGCCUAACACAUGCAAGUCGAGCGGAUGAAGGGAGCUUGCUCCUGUAUUCAGCGGCGGACGGGUGAGUAAUGCCUAGGAAUCUGCCUGGUCGUGGGGGAUAACGUCCGUAGACGGGCGCUAAUACCGCAUACGUCCUGAGGGUGAAAGUGGGGGAUCUUCGGACCUCACGCUAUCAGAUGAGCCUAGGUCGGAUUAGCUAGUUGGUGGGGUAAAGGCCUACCAAGGCGACGAUCCGUAACUGGUCUGAGAGGAUGAUCAGUCACACUGGAACUGAGACACGGUCCAGACUCCUACGGGAGGCAGCAGUGGGGAAUAUUGGACAAUGGGCGAAAGCCUGAUCCAGCCAUGCCGCGUGUGUGAAGAAGGUCUUCGGAUUGUAAAGCACUUUAAGUUGGGAGGAAGGGAAGUAAGUUAAUACCUUGCUGUUUUGACGUUACCAACAGAAUAAGCACCGGCUAACUUCGUG
rnacentral:rRNA from 1 species